UCUUCAAAAUCAAACCCGCACUUGAGAAGACAUUCAAGAUUUUGAAUGACAAAAUUAUGGAAACGUAUCAUAUUUCCAAUUCUCCAAAACUUUUUUAGAAAUCCGUCUCAGUUUCUUUGGAAAGUAUAUAUUGUUAUCAUUAUCAAAAUGAGUUUAUGAUUGUAGUUAAAAGAAUCUUUUCCAACAGUGAUUAUUUGGUCAGAACUUGAAUGAAAAAUAAAUCACCAUGCAUGCAGAUUUACACAGACAUAUUAAUUAACAUAGGUUUAUUGAUAAAUAACGACAUAUGGUUUAUAACAUCAUGGGUAGCUAAGCAGGGAUUUAUUUAAUACAAAAGCACACUAGUGGUGAUUUUGAUGUACUAGGUUAGGUGACCUGCUAGCAGUUCAUAGUC
rnacentral:lncRNA from 1 species